CACAACCAACAACAAGAUUAUAUCUCUCUCUCUUCACUGCCGGACUCUUUUAUGGCUGGGAUCACUCGAUUACAUUGCGACCUGUGACUCGAACUACUUAUAACAAUACGGUCAAAUAGUGUAAUCCGUGGUAUAUUAACGAAGAUCUAUCGAAGAGUUUGAACGAAAGGACAACAAGCAAAGUUUUAUUCUUCAUUAAUUUUCUGUUACAUCGGAACGUCGUGGAAUAAAUAAAUAAAUAAAUAAAUAAAUAAACAAA
rnacentral:lncRNA from 1 species